UACGGAGGGUGCAAGCGUUAUCCGGUUUAUUGGGUUAAAGGGUCCGUAGGCGGGCCGAUAAGUCAGUGGUGAAAGCCCAUAGCUCAACUAUGGAACUCCAUUGAUACUGUCGGUCUUGAGUAUAUGGUGAUGUUGGCGGAAUGUGUAGUGUAGCGGUAAAAUGCUUAGAUAUUACACAGAACACCGAUUGCGAAGGCAGCUGACAAAUAUAUAACUGACGCUGAGGGACGAAAGUGUGGAGAUCAAACAGG
rnacentral:rRNA from 1 species